UUGCUUUUGAAAUGACGAGUCUUUUCUGGAAAAAAUAAGAUAACAUUUAUGAAUACCUAAAAUUUUUAAAGCACUGAUUGUCUACCAGGCACUAUUAUUCAUUAAAUCCCACAACAGCCCUUUGAAGUAAACAUUUUUAUUUUCUUUCCUAGUUAAUAAAUGAGAAGGUUGUCACAGGAAGGUCAUAGAACUUGCUCGAGGUUUACAACCAGUCAGUCAGCUUUGGAGUUCAAGAGUGAGCUCACACAGCCUUGCGUCAGAACACAUACCCUUAGCCAGUUCAGUGGACUGCAUCUUCAUCUUCUCUAAGAGUUCUUAUGGAACCUCUUUCAUAGGAAGAAUACAUUUAACCCUUUUCCCAUUUAGAAAAAAAAGUGCAGCUCACUGCCAGCACUUCUUCAAUUUUACAUAAAUACGCUCUUUGAGGCUGAAGCAAAUCUGAUUUUCAUUGUGAAAAACAAAUAUACAAACUUCUUGGAGUUAUUUCUAAACAGAACUAACAUCAGAAUAGUCUGAAUCAUCCGAAUCAUCAAUUUCUGAAAAAUUGGAUUCAUGGAAUGAAUCUUUGGCCAACAAUUGUUUGAGAACGAUGUUAACAUCACAUAUAGGAAUGCUACAUUUUCUAGGACUUGACAUUUUCAAUGAUCAAGAAUUUCCAUAUUUUGUAAAUGGAAAUACCACUAGUAAAACCAGAAUGCUAUAAGUAGAAUGAUAUCUUUUGUUUCCAAAGUCAAUAUACUAGAGUGAUCCAAAAAUAAUAAUAAAAACAAGAUAAUUCAUGGCAAAGUUUUUUCAGGGUAAAUGCUGCAAGCACCACUGGUGAGUAUUCUCGGGGCCAAUGGGAACAGGGUAAAAGUUGAGGGAAAAACUCCAAUAUUAUGAGAUCAUGUGAUGGAAGGUAAGUAUCCACACAUUGUUCCUUGUACCUACUACUGCUGGAAACUAUUGGAUCAGUCGGUGUUCACUCAUUUAUCUUCUUGCUCCAGGUAAAACUGCUUCAGUGAAAAUAAUGGCAGAUGUUCCUGUAUUUUGCUUGAAUGCUUGUUAUUACAUGAGAGCUACAACACCGCCUAAUUUAUUGAUAAGUUUUUAAAGGAUCUUUCCUGACAAUAUGGUCAGUGAUUUUGGCAGACUGAUUUUUAGCAAUAACCUCAGGUGGCAAAGUAAUAGCCUGUCUGCUCUUUUUGUUCUACCUAGAGAUAACAUUUUCAAAUACACUAACCUGCAGUUUAUCAACAGGGGUAAAAUGGCAUUUUGAGCAAGACAACUCUUAGUCGUGGAGAACAAUCCUAUAACUGUAUGGGAUAGUUUAGCACUUCUGCCCCACCCCACCUGCCCCCACCACACAUACACAUAAACAAAAACACUCCCACACUUUUUCAAAUGCUGAGUAGGGGGAUGACACAGAACUGCCAGGCUAAUGAGUAACCAGUAUUGACUGGGUCAUUCCCCAAAGGAGAAGCUGCUGACAGCUUACAAGCCCCUUCCAUAGUUCCAUACUCCGUGUGAGCCACAGCUAACACCACGCUGGGGCUGUAGCUGGUCAGGAUGAUAUUUCUGUAGACUGCUUCCUGAAAUUUUAAGGGAGAAAGAAUUUCUGUUGUUGAAACUGUCACUUACCAGCUAGUUUUGGGAAACCUGCGUGUACCAGCUCUUCAUACAGUUGCUUGGCCGGGUCACCCUGAGUCAUCAGGGUCCCGUGUAGCCAGAUAAGCAGAGCCCUGUGGCCAUGUUCACGGAAGCUUUCAUUUCCUGUGCCAAGCACAAGAGGUCCGAGGUAAAACACCACGAGCUGCUAUCUCUUUCCAUUGUGAUCUCAGUUCCAACUAAACUUUCUGAAUGACUGUUUGCUUGCCUGUUCCUCUUCGAAAAAAGCCCUUCCAGUUGCCCUCGCUGUGCUGCUUUAUGAUGACCAGCAUUUGCUUUCCCUCCAGCCUGUGCUAUGCACCUGCUAUGCUUGGCACACACCCAAAGGAGUGUACAAGAGAGAGGACAGCUGUGGUGCCUGCCCAGGGGGAACAAUUUUAAUGAAAUAUGCAACUUCUCAUAGACCAGUGCUCUUCAAACUCACAGUGCUUAUUUCACCUGGGUAUCUUACUAAAAUGCAAGUUUGGAUUCAGUAGGUCUGGGGUAAGAAUCCAUGCAUCUAACAAACUCCCGGGUGCUGCUGCCACUGCUGCUCCAUAUUCCCCACUCUGAGCAGCAAGCAUGCACCAUUCAUUCUGCCACUCCAGUCUCAAGGAAGCUACUCUGAGGGAAGUUUGCAUCCCUGGGCCAGGAUUAUUCAUUUGAUAAAUACUCACUGCAUAUCUCAGCCUAGAGAGGUGUUGGGGGAAGUACCGGGAUAGGGAGCCACAAAGCCUCUGUGGUUCCCAACAGGACUUCACUACAGGCUCCUUGCUCUGAGAGAGAGUGUGCAGGAGCAGACAUGCUGUGCAAGGGAAGGGCCUGAGCUCUGCAGGGGUGAGGGAGAAGUUCACUGGACAGACUGAUAUGGAGAAGCGGGCAUUUCAGGGAGAGGGAACUGCAUACUUACAGAAUGUACUCCUGGACAAGUCCUCUGUUCCUUUCCUAAUCUUGCUCUUGACAAACUAAUUUUUCUUAAAUACCAUCAUGAGUCUGUCACUCCUUUGAUCAAAAGCCCACAAACUCCCCAGUGCCAGUAACCUUACCCUGGAUCACAAUAUAAUUGAAUUGCAAGUGUCAUUGUUAUUGUGCCAACUAGAUUAUAAACUCCAUCAAACAUGCAUGGCUUAGAGAGCUGAUGUAUCUAUCCCUCAUCCAGCAGAAAUAAACACUCCAGGCCCUCCAUAAAGGUUCCAUCGAAACACUUUAAAAUCCCCCUUAUCCUGCUGGCAAGUACUCUGAAGAUACACUAUAUUUUCAAGUCAUCUCUUUAGGUCAAGUUAGAGUUCCAGGAGGCAACUCAAUUUUCCUAAAGACUUCACAGAACACUAUAAGCCUAAUUAAUGACAAAAAAGAAAUCUUAACAAUAAAAAAAUUUUUCUAGUUAGAAACUAGUUAGUAUUCAAUGUUUUCAAUACAUUAUCUUCUAUUUUUCACAUGAAAAUGUAUCCUAAGAAUGUGCAAUACAAAGUCUCAUAAUUUACUUGUAUGUGGUAUAAAUAGUGUGUGCUCAUGGACUGUGCUUCUGCCAUCCCCAGUUCCCAGCAAUCCCUAAUACAAAUAGACCCCUGAGCAAGGACACCUUCUCGUCUUAGGAUGUCCAUGAGAGGGCAGUGCUCUGAAUAGAAAACUUUGCCAAGAAACAUGUUUGCUUCAUUGUUUUCAAAGCUAAUUAGUUGAUUAAUGCCAAGUAAACUUUCUAUGUUUCCUAGGUUUUCGUCUAACCACAAAAAACAAAAUUAAGGAAUCUAGCUGACCUGACUUCACUAAUUAUGACAGUUUGAGUCCAGCUGAAAUGAUUCCAUUGCUUGGAAUCAUCUAGCCAAGAAAGCCCUCUGAGUCUGUAUUUGCCGUGUCGCUCAUGGCACAGCCAAGUCUCCCCUAAGGCAGUGUCCUACAACAACCCUUUCUCCUACACCCACCUGCUUUAAGGAAUUCCUCUUUCUGGAGCGCAGACUUAAACAGCGAGCCUAUUGAUUACAGAAUGAACCCAUUCACCCCAGGACAGUCUCAAGGAACAUAGAAAUCAGAUUGGCUUCCCACUGACACACCAACUGUUAAAUCCUUGCUUGCUUCCUUAGUGACCGUCCAGUUGGGAAUCUUACUGUCUCUCUAGGCUAAAUGCACAUGUCUGAUAUGGGUCAAUACACAUAAUCAUCCUUUACAAACUUCGGUUUACUGCAGACCAUGAGUGUUCACUUUCUGCAAAUCUUAAUGCCCAAAUCACUGGUGUGGACCUAAGCUAACUGCCCCUAUUCCUGGGCCCCUUGAAGACUGCAGCUUAUUGUGAGUGCCACACACUUCCUUGGAAGACCUCACACCAGGAGGCACUGCUGUUCCUAACAGUGAAUUCCUCCUGCCCACAUCAUCUAGUCUGUACUCACCCGACCACUGCUCCUCAAUGGCUCUAAUCUGGUCAUCUGUAAAGUUCCACGAACGGGCCAGCCUCUGCCACUCAUUGGCCUUCAGCUGAUGGUAAGCCAGGUCCCAGAGAAGCGUGCGAAUGUGUCUGGUCUCCAGACUGUGAUCUUGCUUGAAUGUCAGAGUAAAGCCUGUUGACGGGUCCCUGAUGCUCUCAUGAUGCUCCUAAAGUGAAAAUAAUUGUAUCAGAAGAUUUCAGACAUGUUCUACUUAUUACCUUAUUUCAGAGUAUAUAUGUUUUUCAAACAUAACUAGUAAGGUGGUAACCGAGACUAUGUUUUCAAUGCCUCCUGUCACUGGAUCAUAUAUAUAUUUUUUUUUUUUGCCAUCCAAAAUGGAAAUAAAUGCUUGAAAUUAAAAGCUUGGGUACCGUCUGUCUGACACAGGAAAUGUGAGGGAUUUUGCCUAUUGUGUCCCAUGCUGCUUAGAACAGAGAAUGAGAACAGAGAGGCUGUCUUGGCAAAGGAUGUGUCACAACAACAAAACCAUCUUUAAUGGCCUUUGUUUGAACCCAUACCCCCAUUUCUUCUUUUGGGUAUUUGAUGUUCUCAUAUUGAAGCUUCGGUGAGCCCAGAUUGGCUGUAUCCUUAAUAAGACCCCACAGCUGGUCCCUCAUUCAUCCUGCUCUCUGGUGAGCAUAAGGAGAGUAAACUAGGAGCCUAGCUCAGGCUGGGGCUUGGGGAAGAGGUGACUAAGGGAGUGGAGAGGACAGGAGUGGACAUCAUUUAAAGUCACUAUAGCCAGGCUCAGACCAACAGCACUAUGCCUAGAUUGGCAUCUUGUUUUCUGACUGUUGAAAGGUUCCUUUUGUCCCUUCUGCAGAAUCCACCAGAGUCCUGCAGAAUCAAACCACAAACACCGGAGAAAAUCACUGAGUGAAAGCAGGCAUCACUGCUUCCUAGAACUGCAUGCUGUGCUUAUGCCACUAGGCCUCCAGGCAAGAAAAGUUGCAAGGAGGAUGGUGUGACCUUUAAAAGAAUCCAUAUAUAUCAAGACUACCAAGCUAAUUAAACAGGAUUGUGAGAGAGAAGGAGAUGAGUAAAUGCUUUUUGCUUUAAGGAUUUAAGGGAAAUUUCCCAAGACUGGCCAGGUGGACAGCAAUCCAGAGCCAUUUGAAUCACUAUAAUUAGCCUGCUUUGAGAAGGCAGCAUUCUGAGAGCCAGAGUUUCCAAGUUCAAAGGAAAAUCUUCCUAAGGAAUAUAUGCUGGAGUGAAAAUCCAAACACUUCUACCCUUAGGGGUUGGGAGGUAGCGUGGAUAGAAGGUUCUCUGAGAGCUUUUUGACACCUCAGGCCAAGAGGACAAGCAGAGAACAAGCUGCUGGGAAAGUCAAAUUUAUACCAAACUUUGAUUCCUUAUUUCCUAACCAGACCCUAACAUGGUCCUAGAAACACUUUUCUUUGGCAAAAAAAAAAAAAAAAAAAAAAAAAUUGUGGGAGCCAAUAGAAAAGAUAUUUUUUAUUCAUUUAUUAACUAUGUAUUGGGUGCCAACUAUGUGCCAGACCUUGAAAAGAAAGGAGAAGAAGGGAAAUCUGGGAAAGUCAAAUCAUGAGGCCCAGUAAACUGUGAGCUCUUGUUUUGAAAACAAAGUCAAAUGGUAGCAUUGACUGUAUUUACUGGAAUAUCUAGUCCACUAAGCAGCAGGGACCCCAACAUAAAUCCCUGCCCAAUGCUAUAGAUUUCGUACCCACAGAAUGGCUUUGGGGGUAUUAAGUAUUCAUGAAAAAGUAGAAUAAAAUACAAAACAACAGCAUUAAAAAAUACUAAGGCUAAAUGUUAAACCAAAUUAACCAGGCACAACUGGUGAAAGUGGUGGAAUUCCACACAAGUGAUAACAUUCUGUGUUGUGUUUUCCUCCUUAAGCUUUUCUGUGUUCUAAAUCGUCCACAGUGGGCCUGUGUUACUUUUUUUUUUUUUUUUUUUUUUUUUUUUUCAGACGGAGUUUCGCUCUUUCACCCAGACUGGAGUGCACUGGCACGGUCUCGGCUCACUGCAACCUCCGCCUUCCGGUUUCAAGUGAUUCUUCUGCCUCAGCCCCCGCUGUAGCUGGGAUUACAGUUGCGCAUCACCAUGCCCGGCUGAUUUGUGUAUUUUUAGUAGAGACAGGGUUUCACCAUGUUGGUCAGGCCGGUCUCAAACUCCUGACCUCAUGAUCUGCCUGCCUCAGCCUCCCAAAGUGCUGAGAUUACAGGUGUGAGCCACCGCGCCCAGCCAGUCUGUGUUACUUUUUUUAUGAUCAGAAAAAAAAAAACAAAAAAACCUAAUUUUAGAAACUGACACACAGAGAAAAGUAAAAUAACAUAUAACUACUUUAGAUCCUACACAUGUAAAAUGGAUGAUUCUGAACUAGAGUAGGGUGGACUCAGGCUUGCACUGUGACUUAGGGAAGUGCUGGCUAUUGAACUGUUGGGUAAAAAUAAGGAAGGGAAAACUGCAAGUUUCGGAAGCAGUCAUCUUUGCUGACAGUUGUAGCAAAGCACCAGAUGACAAAGCAGCCACUACUUGGAUUUGAAGCCAGCUCUGCCUCUUACUAUGCGUGUGACCCAAUGUCAUCAGAAUCUCUCCAAUCUGCUCUUGAAAACUGGAGUGAUUUUGUCCACCUCACUGAAAUGUGAGGAUUGAAGUAAUAUGGCCUGCGUGAGCACCUGACAGGACUGUACCCAGGGACCUCCUAUAUAACAUUCAGUAAAGCUGGAACCUAACACAGCUCUCUGACAACCCUCCGGAGGCUUAGCCUGCAUUACUGCACCACUUGAAAGAAACAAAAUUGUCCUUCUUUAAAAACAGGUUUACACAAUAGCCAAAAGGUGGACGCAACCCAAAUGUCCAUCGAUGGAUGAAUGAAUGAACAAAAUGUGGUAUAGACAUACAAUGAAAUGUUAUUUAGCUUUGAAAAGAAAUGAAAUUCUGACACAUGCUACAACAUAGAUAAACCUUGAAGACGUUACGCUAAGUGAACUAAGCCAGUCACAAAAAGGCAAAUACUAUGUGAUUCCACUUAUAUGAGGUACUUAGAGUGGUCAAAUUCAUAGAAACAGAAAGUAGAAUGGUGGUUCCCAGGGGCUGGGAGAAGGAAGAAAUGGCAAGUUAUUGAAUAAGUGUAAAGUUUCACUUUUGCAAGAUGAAAGUUUUGGAGACCAAUUGCAUAACAAUGUGAAUAUGCUUAACCAUACUGAACUAUAUACAUAAAAAUGGUUAAGACAGUGUUUAUGUGUGUGUAUUUUACCACAAAUUUUUUAAUUUAAAAAAACAAGUUUAGACAUAUGUAAAGUCAUUCAUUGCAGCUAUGUUUAUAAGAGCAAAACCUUAGGAACAACUUAAAUGUCAAUCAAGUGAGGACUAGCUGAACAAGUUGUGAUAUGUCUGUGCCACGCUAUACUAUGCAGCUCUAAAAAAAAAAAGAAUGAAGAAACUCUCCAUGUAGUAAUAUCUCCACUUAAUAAUGCUAAAAAAGCUAAAUGCAGAACAGUAUACUAGUUAUAGGUAUGCCAUCAGUGUCUAAAAAGGAAGGAGGAAGGGAAUAAGAGUAAAAUGUGUUUAUGUUUGCUUGCAUAUGCAUAAAAAACUCUGGAAGGAACAGAAAUAAUUUAUAAUAAUGGAUAUAUAUAAGCGGGGUAGUAUGGUAACCAGACAAGUAGGAACAGGGGUGGGUGGGAAAUUUUUACUGUUAAACCCUUACUAAUUAUAUUCUUUUAUUUCUGGACCAUACGAAUCUAUAAUCUUUUCAGAAUUUGAAUUUAAAAACACAUAUUUUUUCUUCAGAGUAAAAAUUUUUACUGACAUAGCUCAACCAAAAUUGGGGUAUUUUACUGACUAUGAAGAUGCAUGGUUUCUCCAGUUUGUGCCCAUUUCACAAAGGAUAUUCCAAUAACGCUGCUCAAGGCUGACAUCCAACAGGAAGGUCUUAGCAACCAUCUCAGCUGAAUGGAGUAAAGUCCAUGCACUUACCUUGUCAACAGCCUUCAAGUCACAGCCUGCCUUCAGCAGGGUUUCCACCAGUUCCACAUUUCCACGAUCAGCAGCUACAUGCAGAGGGGUUUGCUGCUUCUGCCAUGAAAUUAAGGAGGGGAACAAACUUGGACGGUGAAAAGACAAAUGGAAAGUAUAGCCAUCCUAUUUAGGUUCAAGGGAAAACACAGGUCAUAUAUUUUUUAAUGGAUACUGGGGCAUUCAUUGCAUUAUUAUUUGCAAUAGUGAAAAACUGAAAGGAAAUUACAUGUUUAACAAGGAGACUCACUAGAUAAAUUAUGAUAAUCUAUAUAUUGGAAUAACAGGCAACCAUUAAAAAUUAUUUUUUUAAAAAUGAUUUCAAUAUUAGGUACCUAAAGUAGUCAAAUAUAUAGAGACAGAAAGUAGAAUGGUGGUUCCCAGGAGCUGGAGGAGGGAAUGGGAAGUUACCGUUUAAUAGAUAUAAAAUUUCAGUUUGGGAAGAUGAAAAAUGUUCUGAAGAUGGAUGGUGGUGAUAUUAUACCAAAUGAAUGUAAUUAAUGCUGCUGAACUGUACACUUAAGAUGGUUAAAAUGGUGGAUUUUAUGUGUAUUUUACUACAAUAAAAAUUAUUUCGAAGAUUUUUUAAAAAUAAAAGACGCUUUUGAUAUAACAUUUGAAACUUUAGGAAAUGAUACUAUCUAGUUGAGCUUGAUUUAAUGAAAAAUACACAUAGAGAAAGAGACAAAAAUACAGUACAGAAAAAUGCUAAUGAUAAGGUCUAGAUGAAG
rnacentral:lncRNA from 1 species